CCUGCGCAUGCGUGCCAGCGCCCAUGCAAAUCUGCUGUACAUCCAGAGAGCAAAGUGGGAUGAUCUGUCACUACACCUGCAGCACCACGUUCCGAGGACAGCUCCUGCUUGCUGCUUCCAGACCCAGGAAGCCUGAGGGGAAGAAAGGAAGUACGGGCGAAAUCAUCAGAUUGGCUUCCCGGGUUUGGGAAUCUGAAGCGGGCCCGCAUCUUCCGGCCAACUUCCAUUGAACUUCCCAGCACUCGAAAGGGACCGAAAUGGAGAGCAAAGUUAGUUCUGGAUGAACAAAUCGGAGAGGACAGGAAGGAAGGAAACAACACUGGGCUAGGAGUCGGGUGAUCUGGAGUCUGUCCUGGUGCUGCUCAGGACUCACUGACUUGACGUGACCUUGGCAAAGUCACUCUACCUCCUGCAUUUCUGUUGCGUCAAUGGUAAUAUGAG
rnacentral:lncRNA from 1 species